rnacentral:misc_RNA from 1 species
AAGUCGUAACAAGGUUCCCGUAGGUGAACCUGCGGAAGGAUCAUUACCGUUGCAUCAAUGGGCGGGUUUUCUUAAUUGAAGCCCGCCUCCUUGACGUUACCCAUGCCUUUUUGCGUACAGUUUGUUUUCCCGGCAGGGCAUUUAUGCCCCUAACGGAUAUCAAUCCACCCUUGUAUUUGCGGUCCAUGUCUGAAAAUUAUAAUAAUUACAA